GGCUCGGUGGUGGAUGAUCCACACCUGUUUCUUGUGUAGGUGUAGCCACGGGUACAAGCAGGAGGAGCUCGUUCAAUUCGGGCCCGAGCCA